GAUUGGAUUAGGCAUGCAAGUCGAACGAGGGAGUAUUCCGAAAGGAGUACAAAUCGAGUGGCGUAAGGGUGAGUAAUGCAUUGAUAACCUGCCUCUGAGAUGAGGAUAACAACGUUUCAAGUAAUUGAAACUACCGAAAGGGUUGCUAAUACUCAAUAAAACUAUUGUUACUUUUGUAGCGAUAGUCAAAUAGAAGGAGAUGAAAGUUUCCAUUUGCUUAGAGAGGGGUCAAUGUCCUAUCAGCUAGUUGGUAAGGUAAUGGCUUACCAAGGCGAAGACGGGUAGCCGGCCUGAGAGGGUGGUCGGCCACACUGGGACUGAGACACUGCCCAGACUCCUACGGGAGGCUGCAGUCGAGAAUCUUUCGCAAUGCCCGAAAGGGUGACGAAGCGACGCCGCGUGCGGGAAGAAGGCCUUCGGGUUGUAAACCGCUGUCGGGAGUUAAGAAAUGCAAGGAUAUUAAUAGUGUCUUUGCUUGACUAAGGCUCCGGAGGAAGCCACGGCUAACUCUGUGCCAGCAGCCGCGGUAAUACAGAGGCGGCAAGCGUUGUUCGGAAUUAUUGGGCGUAAAGAGCACGUAGGCGGCUAUGUAAGUCGGUUGUGAAAGCCUUCCGCUCAACGGGAGAACAGCAUCCGAUACUGCAUGGCUUGAGUGCGGGAGGGGAGAGUGGAACUUCUGGUGGAGCGGUGAAAUGCGUAGAUAUCAGAAGGAACGCCGGCGGCGAAAGCGGCUCUCUGGCCCGUAACUGACGCUGAGUGUGCGAAAGCUAGGGGAGCAAACGGGAUUAGAUACCC
rnacentral:rRNA from 1 species